rnacentral:rRNA from 1 species
UACGUAGGGGGCAAGCGUUGUCCGGAUUUAUUGGGCGUAAAGGGCGCGUAGGCGGCGGGGUCAGUCGGGUGUGAAAUCUCACAGCUUAACUGUGAAACUGCAUUGGAUACUAUCCGGCUCGAGGAAUGGAGGGGAGACUGGAAUACUUGGUGUAGCAGUGAAAUGCGCAGAUAUCAAGUGGAACACCAGUGGCGAAGGCGACUCUUUGGUCUGUAACUGACGCUGAGGCGCGAAAGCGUGGGGAGCAAACAGG